CUGAUGGGACUGCCGGUGACAAACCGGAGGAAGGUGGGGAUGACGUCAAGUCCUCAUGGCCCUUAUAGGUGGGGCUACACACGUCAUACAAUGGCCGGUACAAAGGGCAGCCAACCCGCGAGGGGGAGCCAAUCCCAUAAAGCCGGUCGUAGUCCGGAUCGCAGUCUGCAACUCGCCUGCAUGAAGCCGGAAUCGCUAGUAAUCGCGGAUCAGCAUGCCGCGGUCGAAUACGUUCCCGGGCCUU
rnacentral:rRNA from 1 species